rnacentral:lncRNA from 1 species
UGUGUGGUAAACAUGCUUGCAGUAACAAUUAAGCACCCUGAAAAUAACAUCUCUCAUUUCCUGUGAUGCAUAGCUGAAUUUGGGAACCAGCAUCUGUGAAUACAAGGAAAUUGCUGCAAUACCUGGUUAGUCUCUACAUAUUUACAAAGAAAUUGUCAUCUACAGUGACCUUCAUUGCAUAUGAAAUAUGAUCAUGUCUAUUAGGCAAUUUUAUCUUCUUUGCUUUCAGUGAACUAUGUAAAUAGAUGAAAGAUGUUGUACAGCAUAUUUUGAGAACAUGUCUUUUAUCGGCACAAGUCCAGUUACACUGGGACUAAGACUACUUGCUUGUUCCUGUCUAUUUUCAAGUCAAAAUCUAUGGGAAUAAUCACUUUCUUGAAGGAAGGAUUAAAUGAAGCCCUUCUUGUUACUCCUGCACUGCAGUUCCUCAUUUCAAGGGGUUCUCCAGCCACAACAGGCUGUCUCAGAGGUUGCCUUUAGCUCUGCAGCCCGAGGGCAGCCGAGAAGAGAUGCACACAGCAAAGACGAGCCUGGCCACUGCCUGGGUGCCGUGGGGAGGGAUGCUGGGGAGUGCGGCGUAGGGCACAGCCUUUCAGAUGCGGUGAAGAAAGCUUGGAGUGGAAAAGCAUGUGCUAAAUCCCUGGAACCUCUUCGUAUUACAUUGCAGAAGACACUUGGAAACGUUCAUCUGAAUGAAAGCCAACCCUCUGUGGGUCUGGCAAGGUGUUACACUGGCAAAGCCCAAGAACCUGCCUUUGAAAAUGGGAGCUACUACCACAAGAACGAUUUGAGCACUCACAAAGCCAUGGUUUUGGUAUGCUGCUCCAGCUCUGGAGGAUGGCUUGCUUAUGCUGUAUACUGUAAUUCUACAUUCAAGAUGUCAAUGGGACUUUCUGUGUUCAUUUCAACAGGAACAGGAUUAAGCAUAGGACUAUCAAUAUUUGAAUAUGCCAAUAUUUAUUCCCAGCAAAAUCCAUGACAAAUGCACAAUGACACAAGGAAGACAGAUCCAACUGGAAAGAAAAACUGUAUAAACAACCAUUGCUGGGCUUGCUGUACUGCAGAAAUGAGACCAAAUUUGAGUCCAAGCAUCUUACAAGAUCUCCUCCUAUCAUAACCAAUUUCUUCCAUCCCAUAUAUAGGAAAGACAUAAACCUCUUACCUCAACACCCAAUUCUUUGCAUAUAUUUGAGGACAGAGCAAUCUGGUAGUUGAAGCAAGUAUGGGAAAGAUUUAGUAGAGAAAACAACAAAAAAUUGUGACAAGAGAAGGUAACAGCCUCCACACACAGUUUUGUGUGACUCACAGUGCACAUUUCUGUGAGCUGCUAUGACCAACCAAGACAAGCUGCAUCCAGGAAACAGGCUUAUCACCAAGCCUCUCUACAAAAACAGAGCUCCCCUCAGCCCUUUGUUAGGGUUUUCAAAAGCUUCAAAGACUUCUUUACCAUGAAUCUGUGUGAAUCAGAAAGGGAGAAAAUGUCUAAGAGGCAUGGACAUUCAGUGGUCCUGCCUUGUCCCUCUCUCGCUCCACAUUCUUUUCAAGGGAAAGGUCAGGGAAUAUUUUACCUCUGACUUUCUCUCAGGUUCUUGACAAAGGUCAGUGAUAACUGUUGUUUUAAUGCACCACCAUAAUUAUAGCAUAUAAUGAUGCCAGCAUCAUUAAAAGUGGAAUGAUUGUUGUGAACAAAACCACUUAUAUUUGCAACAGUGUCUGCCCUGAGGAGACCUGUCUGCAUUACACGAAUGGUAAAAUUAUUCUGCUAUAGUGGUGACAGUUCCCCCCCCCCCCCCCCCCAUGGAUAAAUCUUGGUGAGUGACUGAUCCACAUAAACAAACAAGACUCUGAAUGACUUACAUGAAGACAGUUCUGUGAAACUGACUCAUCACAGCGCUUACACUUAAACAGAAUCAUGAAGAACUUGCAUUAUGACAAUUUUGUGAAGACAAAACCAAACUGAACAACUAACAGAUUCUGGUCCAGCAGGAGGAACACUGCUGUAGGACUCAGAAGACUGCAGGAUACACUUGGCACGGACCAUGCUUGACUACUGACUGUGCUUGACUGGUGACCAGUUAAGUUGCUUACCUUAUCUUGGCCUUAUUUCCUAACAUAUAAGAGGGAUAUUGAAACUUAUUUUAGUUAUAAAGUGGUCUCAGUUUCCUGGCUGAAAGUUUUCUUUAAAAGCUAGUCAUUCUUCUUUUUAAACCUAGGUGUUUAGAAAAUUCCAUAUCAGAACCAGAUCAAUUAGUCUAUUUUAUUUUGUCCUUACUCAAUAGUGGUCAAUGAUUGAUUCAUCAGGAACUAAAUAAUUUUAUAAUCCAUGUAAUUGCGUUAUAGAUAAAAAUAAUUCCGAAGCAAGAACUUUUCUUCCUGACUCAAGCUGAUGAUUGGUUUAUACUUAGAAGAUUAUGGACUGAUGGCUAUUAUAAUUUUAUUCUACCUACUGUAACUACAGAAGGUUUUUUUUUUUUUUUUUUUUUUUUUUUUUACAGUAUUCAUAUGUAUACAAUCCUCUUUUAGAAUCUUGCUAAGCUAGUUGCCUCAACAAUUCACUUUACAUUUGCUCUGGUUCUAAUAUAGGUGAGGAUUUGUAAUAUUCAGCACUCGUUCCAAAGCUCAUCUUCUUGGUACUUCAAAAUUCACAAAGAGCCUUGCCUCAAGGUUGUUAGUCAUGGCUUCUUGGAAAAUGUUGUGUGUAUACAUAAUAAAACGAGGACAUUAAACA